AGGUCUCUUCGUGUCCUCUCUUCAUCGCCUCUGUUUUAUGAAACCCUAGAGAUCACUUGUAAACUUAUAUGUCACGUAAGUGGAAAAUUAGGUUGUCUUUCUCGGGCCUACAAAUUAGAAAAGCCCAAGUUUUUGUAGGCGAUACGAAAAGUCAACGCUAAUGAUUACUUUCCUUGUUCCAAGAAUAUGGGAACAUGACCCAUGCCCGUUUCUCCACUUUCUUCAGUGUAGGAACUUAAUAGUUCCAAGCUUUCUCCUUCGUAA